CUGGCUGUACGGACAUUCUAACCCAGAACCGUGAUCCGGUUCGGAGACAGUGUCAGGUGGGCAGUUUGACUGGGGCGGUCGCCUCCUAAAGAGUAACGGAGGCGCCCAAAGGUUCCCUCAGAAUGGUUGGAAAUCAUUCGUAGAGUGUAAAGGCAGAAGGGAGCUUGACUGCGAGACCUACAAGUCGAGCAGGGACGAAAGUCGGGCUUAGUGAUCCGGCGGUGCCGAAUGGAAGGGCCGUCGCUCAACGGAUAAAAGCUACCCCGGGGAUAACAGGCUUA
rnacentral:rRNA from 1 species